UUUGAAUGUUGACAGACCUGACUGGUGGGUGGUGCAGCCACCUGUGCACUUCUUGGACAGUGCAGGGGGUGGGGGAGUUAGAGAGAGAAGCUGGAAAAUGGGCUGCCCCAGCAGCAAAAUGUGCCUCUCUCCUCCAUGUGCAGCAACAAGGGUAAUUAGUAUUUGUUAAUAGUGCUUUUCUGGAAGAAUGUCAGGGACUAUGGCAGAGGGUGUCUGGAAUCCAGGAAAUGCUUUGAAUGACAAGCAACUCUUGCUGCAAAGGCUGGAUGGAUCUCAUGAUCUCUGCAAUACGAGAUCAGGAUGCGGUGCUAGCUACAUCUGGGGCUAUCCCAGUGAAGGCAUUUUCAGAGCUUUGAAAUUCUGUGUCUGCCUUAGUUACACCCUGGUGCUAGGGAAUCUACCGUGUAAGGAACUGAGUCUAACUACUUUAUUUGUAAUUAUAGCUGCUCCAAGGUAUAAUAAUCCUUGAAAACUGCGGGAGGAAGCCCUGAAACAACACAAAACCCUAUCUCAAGAACUCGUUAACCUCCAGGGAGAGCUAG
rnacentral:lncRNA from 1 species